UGGGUUGUGUCUCAGUGGUAGAGCGCUUGCCUAGCAUGUGUGAGGGACUGGGUUCAAUUCCCAGUACCACAU
rnacentral:tRNA from 1 species